UUCGUAGGCGGUGUGGCAAGUCGGGAGUGAAAUCUCUGGGCUUAACUCAGAGACUGCUUCCGAAACUGCUGUGCUUGAGUGUGGGAGAGGCGCGUGGAAUUGCAGGUGUAGCGGUGAAAUGCGUAGAUAUCUGCAGGAACACCCGUGGCGAAAGCGGCGCGCUGGACCACUACUGACGCUGAGGAACGAAAGCUAGGGGAGCAAACAGGAUUAGAUACCCUGGUAGUCCUAGCCCUAAACGAUCAGGACUUGGGGUGCCGCACGUUCGUGCGUCGUCCCGGAGCUAACGCGUUAAGUCCUGCACCUGGGGAGUACGGUCGCAAGACUGAA
rnacentral:rRNA from 1 species